UGAGUAUUAACGAACAAAUGUUUUCGACCGAACUCCAAACUCUUUGAUGCUCAAAACAAACCUCAAAUGAUAAAUAAAUUCUAAUAGCAAUUUGUGAAACCUCCUCUAGUGAACCAAAACUACCUUCCGAGUAUAAGGAAGAAUUACGAGUAAAAGUUUAUUUUUUCAAUUUGUCCGAAUAGUCUAAAUUUCUAAUACAUUUUUGUAUUGUAGUUAGGAGGAUAGUUCUAUACUGAAAUCCAGACUAAUAACUAAUUUUUUAA
rnacentral:sRNA from 1 species